rnacentral:rRNA from 1 species
GAUGAACGCUGGCGACGUGCCUAAUACAUGCAAGUCGAGCGAACGGACGAGAAGCUUGCUUCUCUGAUGUUAGCGGCGGACGGGUGAGUAACACGUGGAUAACCUACCUAUAAGACUGGGAUAACUUCGGGAAACCGGAGCUAAUACCGGAUAAUAUUUUGAACCGCAUGGUUCAAAAGUGAAAGACGGUCUUGCUGUCACUUAUAGAUGGAUCCGCGCUGCAUUAGCUAGUUGGUAAGGUAACGGCUUACCAAGGCAACGAUGCAUAGCCGACCUGAGAGGGUGAUCGGCCGCACUGGAACUGAGACACGGUCCAGACUCCUACGGGAGGCAGCAGUAGGGAAUCUUCCGCAAUGGGCGAAAGCCUGACGGAGCAACGCCGCGUGAGUGAUGAAGGUCUUCGGAUCGUAAAACUCUGUUAUUAGGGAAGAACAUAUGUGUAAGUAACUGUGCACAUCUUGACGGUACCUAAUCAGAAAGCCACGGCUAACUACGUG